AUAUAACCUGUUGAGGACGUUACCAGUGUAUCCUAAAGUAUAAAACUCACUUAGUUGUUGCUUCAGGCUCUCUAGAGCUGGGAGAGAUGGGUUUGCUUGGAGUUGCAAAGCAUCCACUUCCCACUCAACACCAUUAACUGGAUCCAAGAUUUAGUAAGCAAGAGCUGUGUAGCCUUUUGUUACUCUUCUUACCGUUGCCAUUAAGCAGAAUUAGACUGUCGAUAUUUGCUUUGCACAUUCUCCCGUGUGCUUUCCUGCAUCUGACUGAGAGUUGGGUUAGGAUAUAACCACGUUACUCGUCAAUCCAAAUAGCGGUGCCCUGAACAUUGCCAAAUUGUUGUGAUGGUGAUGAUGCUUGCAGAGGCUGUUCAGCAUAUCGAUGAGUUCUGUUGUCUCUUCUCUUAACUGCUUUAUCUGUGUUCAAUUUUCUAUUUCGGAGUUCAUGACGGUUUUAUGCUUUUUGCAUAUACUAUGCAUGUCAAUCGUCAAAAGGAAGGGUGUCAACGAGCACACGUGUGGACUGAAGGAGCUAAUGAAUUAUGGGGAAGCACAAAUAAAGGGUGUAUUAAAAAAAGGAGGAAAUGCAAAUAUUUUUUGAGUAACCCAGUUAUUUUAUCUUUUGAACACUUACA